rnacentral:rRNA from 1 species
AGGACGAACGCUGGCGGCGUGCUUAACGCAUGCAAGUCACGGGGGUCCCGCAAGGGAUAACCGGCGAACGGGUGCGUAACACGUGAACAACCUGCCCUCGUGUGGGGGAUAGCCGGGCUAACGCCCGGGUAAUACCGCAUACGGUCCCUUGGAGGAGUCUCUGGGGGAAGAAAGCUCCGGCGCACGGGGAGGGGUUCGCGGCCUAUCAGCUAGUUGGCGGAGUAAUGGCCCACCAAGGCGACGACGGGUAGCUGGUCUGAGAGGACGACCAGCCACACUGGGACUGAGACACGGCCCAGACUCCUACGGGAGGCAGCAGUGGGGGAUCUUGCGCAAUGGGCGAAAGCCUGACGCAGCGACGCCGCGUGGGGGAUGAAGGCCCUCGGGUUGUAAACCCCUUUCGGCAGGGACGAAGCGAUUGUGACGGUACCUGCAGAAGAAGCUCCGGCUAACUACGUGCCAGCAGCCGC